UGGGGAAUAUUGCACAAUGGGCGCAAGCCUGAUGCAGCCAUGCCGCGUGUAUGAAGAAGGCUUCGGGUUGUAAAGUACUUUCAGCGGGGAGGAAGGGAGUAAAGUUAAUACCUUUGCUCAUUGACGUUACCCGCAGAAGAAGCACCGGCUAACUCCGUGCCAGCAGCCGCGGUAAUACGGAGGGUGCAAGCGUUAAUCGGAAUUACUGGGCGUAAAGCGCACGCAGGCGGUUUGUUAAGUCAGAUGUGAAAUCCCCGGGCUCAACCUGGGAACUGCAUCUGAUACUGGCAAGCUUGAGUCUCGUAGAGGGGGGUAGAAUUCCAGGUGUAGCGGUGAAAUGCGUAGAGAUCUGGAGGAAUACCGGUGGCGAAGGCGGCCCCCUGGACGAAGACUGACGCUCAGGUGCGAAAGCGUGGGGAGCAAACAGG
rnacentral:rRNA from 1 species